CCGCGGGUGCUGGCACCAGACUUGUCCUCCAAUUGUUACUCGAUUUUGGAUGGGUUUAAAUAUCCCCCAUUGAAAACGACAACCCAAAAGGCGCUUUCGGMUCUAUUUCUUUUCGCUGCCUCAUCGUUUUUUUUUGACAUUGGGCAAUUUGCGCGCCUGCUGCCCUCCGUAGAAGUGGUAGCUAUUUMUCAGGCUCCCUCUCCGGAAUCGAA
rnacentral:rRNA from 1 species